rnacentral:rRNA from 1 species
UACGGGGGGGGCAAGCGUUGUUCGGAAUUACUGGGCGUAAAGGGCUCGUAGGUGGCCAACUAAGUCGGACGUGAAAUCCCUCAGCUUAACUGGGGAACUGCGUCCGAUACUGGAUGGCUCGAGUUUGGGAGAGGGAUGCGGAAUUCCAGGUGUAGCGGUGAAAUGCGUAGAGAUGUGGAGGAACACCGAUGGCGAAGGCAGCCCCCUGGGCUAACACUGACGCUCAUGCACGAAAGCGUGGGGAGCAAACGAGGAUUAGAGUACCCGGUAGAUCCGA